UACGUAGGAGGCGAGCGUUGUCCGGAUUUACUGGGCGUAAAGCGCGCGCAGGCGGCAGUGCAAGUAAGGUGUGAAAUCUCCCUGCUCAACGGGGAGGGUGCACUUUAGACUGCACAGCUCGAGGUCGGUAGAGGGGGGGUGGAAUUGCUGGUGUAGCGGUGAAAUGCGUAGAGAUCAGCAGGAACACCCGUGGCGAAGGCGGCCCCCUGGGCCCGUACCUGACGCUGAGGCG
rnacentral:rRNA from 1 species